UGGGGAAUCUUGGACAAUGGGCGCAAGCCUGAUCCAGCCAUGCCGCGUGAGUGAAGAAGGCCUUCGGGUUGUAAAGCUCUUUUACCAGGGACGAUAAUGACGGUACCUGGAGAAUAAGCCCCGGCAAACUUCGUGCCAGCAGCCGCGGUAAUACGAAGGGGGCUAGCGUUGUUCGGAAUUACUGGGCGUAAAGCGCACGUAGGCGGAUUGUUAAGUCAGAGGUGAAAUCCCGGAGCUCAACUUCGGAACUGCCUUUGAUACUGGCAAUCUAGAGUCCGGAAGAGGUUAGUGGAAUUCCCAGUGUAGAGGUGAAAUUCGUAGAUAUUGGGAAGAACACCAGUGGCGAAGGCGGCUAACUGGUCCGGUACUGACGCUGAGGCGCGAAAGCUAGGGGAGCAAACGGGAUUAGAUACCCGAGUAGUCCCUGAGCGGGCUGGCAAGGCGCAU
rnacentral:rRNA from 1 species